rnacentral:rRNA from 1 species
UACGUAGGGGGCAAGCGUUGUCCGGAUUUAUUGGGCGUAAAGAGCGUGUAGGCGGCCAGAUAGGUCCGUUGUGAAAACUCGAGGCUCAACCUCGAGACGCCGAUGGAAACCGUCUGGCUAGAGUCCGGAAGAGGAGAGUGGAAUUCCUGGUGUAGCGGUGAAAUGCGCAGAUAUCAGGAAGAACACCCGUGGCUAAGGCGGCUCUCUAGUACGGUACUGACGCUGAGACGCGAAAGCGUGGGGAGCGAACAGG